UGGUUCUCCCCGAAAGCUAUUUAGGUAGCGCCUCGUGAAUUCAUCUCCGGGGGUAGAGCACUGUUUCGGCAAGGGGGUCAUCCCGACUUACCAACCCGAUGCAAACUGCGAAUACCGGAGAAUGUUAUCACGGGAGACACACGGCGGGUGCUAACGUCCGUCGUGAAGAGGGAAACAACCCAGACCGCCAGCUAAGGUCCCAAAGUCAUGGUUAAGUGGGAAACGAUGUGGGAAGGCCCAGACAGCCAGGAUGUUGGCUUAGAAGCAGCCAUCAUUUAAAGAAAGCGUAAUAGCUCACUGGUCGAGUCGGCCUGCGCGGAAGAUGUAACGGGGCUAAACCAUGCACCGAAGCUGCGGCAGCGACGCUGAUGCGUUGUUGGGUA
rnacentral:rRNA from 1 species